UUCUGUUUGAGGUUCUUCCUGCUGGAGUUCUUCCGUCUGUGGUGCUUCCUGCAUUGGGUGGGGAGAUGGUGCUUGCUGUGUCUGGGCUCCUGGAGAAGAGGGAGAGGACUCCACCGGAAUUGGAGAUACCGGAGGAGGAGGACUUGCCACCCUCUGGCGCUUUGUUCCAGCCUUAGCACCUUUGGUGCCUUUUCUCUUUGGCUGGCUAGACUGGGGGGCAUCGGUACUUUGGCGCUUGGCUUUUGCCGAUGCACCAGUUUGCUGCAACAACGAAAAGGGGUUUAUAAGCGCAGAUGUAGCCGAUAUAAAAACGGUCGGUGUAAAAGAAGAAGAUUUGACAAAUUACCUUGAAAGCCUGCGCCAGAGUGGAAGCAGCUACCGUAGGUGACGUUUGAGCUCUCUUGGUGGUGACUUUCCUGAGGCGCGCACCCCG
rnacentral:lncRNA from 1 species